rnacentral:lncRNA from 1 species
ACAGUUAUGACGUAGAAGACAUAGUCAAGAGGUUAUGCAAACUCGGCACCACUUGCAGAAUAAAUGAGUACACGGGUGAGAAAUCCAGUUUUUCACACACCGAGCUCUCAUGCUAUGGGAAGGCAAGGUAUAGUUUUAUCUGCCAUAACCUGAUGCCAACCAGACAUGUCAGUGAUGUGACUAGAGACAGUAGUGCUGCUAUUUGCUAUAGUCACGGAGUUGGAUAUUGACGUAAGCUCACUCAUUCAGGAGUCUAUUCUCAAGGCUUUGAGGGGCAGCACUUCGGGAGGCCUUCCACAUCCCUCUGUCAUCACAUUCCUGUUCUAGAUAGCUGUAGUACCCGUGGCCACGGACGAGAUACUCCUACCUCCUAUGGCUAUUAUAGAUCACGCCACUAUUACCUGAUACCGAGUCUUGGAGGGUGUAGAGUCUCAUCCUCGCGGAGAGGGCUUCCUACCUGCUACUCAGCCCCCGCCUCCUUCUUCUGAGGCCAACACAUCUACAUAGCCUAUAGAGCUAGGUCCUUUAGCUUCUAAUCAAUUGGCAGAGAUAUUGAACUCUAUGAAUCUCCUGCACCAGAAGAUUGAUCGGCAGGGUAGGAGGAUCGAUACAGUGGCUCAAUAGAAGGAUCUCUUCAUGUAAUAUUACACGGAGUUUUCCAAUACAGUGGAAAGCAUCUAUAUUGCUUCUGGUGGUGAUGAAGCAGACUCGAUGCCGUUCUAGUUCCCGGUGCCUCCAGUAUGCCCUCCAUAUCCUCCACCAUUGCCGACCGCAAAAGUUGAAGAGGAUGAUGAUGAUGUCGAGUGACCAGACCUCAGGGAAGCCCUCUUGUAUUGAUUUAUAUAUGCUUAGCAAUGAGGGCAUUGCUCAUCUUAAGUAUGGGGGUGUUUUAUCAGUUUUAUUCUGUCUACUACCAUAUUAGGUUGCCAUCUUAGUAUUUUGUUUAUGUUUUAUCAGUAUUGUAGUGCAGUC